rnacentral:rRNA from 1 species
AAUAGAUACCCUGGUAGUCCACGCCGUAAACGAUGGAUGCUAGCUGUUAUGAGUAUCGACCCUUGUAGUAGCGAAGCUAACGCGUUAAGCAUCCCGCCUGUGGAGUACGAGCGCAAGCUUAAAACAUAAAGGAAUUGACGGGGACCCGCACAAGCGGUGGAGCGUGUUGUUUAAUUCGAUGAUAAGCGAAGAACCUUACCAAGGCUUGACAUCCCUGGAAUUUCUCCGAAAGGAGAGAGUGCCUUCGGGAAUCAGGUGACAGGUGAUGCAUGGCCGUCGUCAGCUCGUGUCGUGAGAUGUUUGGUUAAGUCCAUCAACGAGCGCAACCCUUGUAAAUAGUUGAAUUUUUCUAUUUAGACUGCCUCGGUAACGGGGAGGAAGGAGGGGAUGAUGUCAGGUCAGUAUUUCCCUUACGCCUUGGGCUACAAACACGCUACGAUGGCCGGUACAAAGGGCAGCCAACCCGCGAGGGGGAGCAAAUCCCAUCAAAACCGGUCUCAGUUCGGAUAGCAGGCUGAAAUUCGCCUGCUUGAAGCCGG